UGCCAGCCGCCGCGGUAAUACGGAGGGUCCAAGCGUUGUUCGGAAUUACUGGGCGUAAAGCGUGCGUAGGCGGAUCGACAAGUUGGGGGUGAAAUCCCGGGGCUUAACCCCGGAACUGCCCUCAAAACUGUCGAUCUAGAGACCGGGAGAGGUAAGCGGAAUUCCUAGUGUAGAGGUGAAAUUCGUGGAUAUCUGGAGGAACACCGGUGGCGAAGGCGACUUCCUGGACCAAUACUGACGCUGAGGUGCGAAGGCGUGGGGAGCAAACAGGAUUAGAUA
rnacentral:rRNA from 1 species